rnacentral:rRNA from 1 species
GACGAACGCUGGCGGCGUGCCUAAUACAUGCAAGUCGAACGCAGGUGUGACGGGUGAGUAACACGUGGGUAACCUCCCAUCAGAGGGGAUAACACUUGGCAACAGGUGCUCAACCGGUACUGAUGGAUGGACCCGCGGUGCAUUAGCUAGUUGGUGAGGUAAAGGCCUACCAAGGCGACGAUGCAUAGCCGGCCUGAGAGGGGGAUCGGCCACACUGGGACUGAGACACGGUCCAGACUCCUACGGGAGGCAGCAGUAGGGAAUAUUCGACAAUGGGCGAAAGUCUGAUCGAGCCAUGCCGCGUGAGUGAAGAAGGUUUUCGGAUCGUAAAGCUCUGUUGGUAGAGAGGCGGUAUCUACCCAGAAAGCAACGGCUAACUACGUGCCAGCAGCCGCGGUAAUAC